ACAUCCACGGAGAGACAUCAUAACACUGCAGACUCACCAGCUGACAUGUGACAUUACAUCCUUCCUCUGAAAACCUGUUGUGGACUUACCGAACUCUCCCUGGGAAACCAGGGCACCGCACUCUAAGGUGGAACCACUCCUGCUCACAGUAGAUACUGUAGGCAAGAAGAAAAGACAAAGCAAACCUGGGAUUCGGAGCUGUGCGAUCUGAACUGUGUUCGUCUACCACGCAGGUCCAGCUAUAUAAGGAGGGGCCUAUUGCAAAAUGAAAAUGUGUGGUUUCUCA